AACUUUUGGCAAUGGAUCUCUAGGCUCUUGCAUCGAUGAAGAACGCAGUAAUGUGCGAAAAGUAAUGCGAAUUGCAUACCUCUGCGAGUCAUCUAAUCUUUGAACGCAAAUGGCACUGUCAUGUCGAGUGACAGUAUGUCUGUUUGAGAACCAAAAACCCCAUCACCAUUAGUUAAUGGUGGACGUGCCCGAGAUCUGAAUCUUGGGCUAAAUUGAUGGUGUUGCAGGGCAACAUGAAUGUGUGAUAAUCAUUCAUAUUCAUGUCAGCCGAUAUCUGCACACGAAGCAAGAUGUGUGUGUGAAUGUGAAUGUACAUACGUACAUUCACAUACACAUCCAUCAUCCUCAUCACCGGUCUCAAAUCAGUCAAGGUUACCCGCUGAACUUAAGCAUAUCAAUAAGCGGAGGCU
rnacentral:misc_RNA from 1 species